rnacentral:rRNA from 1 species
GAAGCGGCAACAGCUCAAAUUUGAAGAUCUGACCCUUUGGGGUCCGAGUUGUAAUUUGCAGAGGGUGUUUCGGGCACGGUGCCGGUUUAAGUCCUUUGGAACAGGGUGUCAUAGAGGGUGAGAACCCCGUAUGUGACCGGUCGCCAAACCCAUGUGAAACCCCUUCGACGAGUCGAGUUGUUUGGGAAUGCAGCUCAAAAUGGGUGGUAAAUUUCAUCUAAAGCUAAAUAUUGGCCAGAGACCGAUAGCGCACAAGUAGAGUGAUCGAAAGAUGAAAAGCACUUUGGAAAGAGAGUCAAACAGCACGUGAAAUUGUUGAAAGGGAAGCGCUUGCGACCAGACCUGCUCGCGGGUGAUCAGCGGUGCUUUUCGCGCCGUGCACUCAUCCGCGAUCAGGCCAGCAUCGGUUCAGGCGGCCGGACAAAGACUCGGAGAAUGUAGCUCCCUCCGGGGAGUGUUAUAUCUCCUUGUGCAAUACGGCCAGCCGGGACCGAGGACCGCGCUUCGGCUAGGAUGCUGGCGUAAUGGUCGUAAGCGACCCGUCUUGAAACACGGACCAAGGAGUCUAACAUCUGUGCGAGUGUUUGGGCGUUAAACCCAUGCGCGCAAUGAAAGUGAACGUGAGGUGGGAACCCUCUCGGGGGCGCACCAUCGACCGAUCCAGAUGUCUUCGGAUGGAUUUGAGUAAGAGCACAGCUGUUGGGACCCGAAAGAUGGUGAACUAUGCCUGAAUAGGGUGAAGCCAGAGGAAACUCUGGUGGAGGCUCGCAGCGGUUCUGACGUGCAAAUCGAUCGUCAAAUUUGGGUAUAGGGGCGAAAGACUAAUCGA